rnacentral:tRNA from 1 species
AGAGAUGUGGUCGAUUUGGAACGGCGCCCCCCUGCAACGGGGGAAAAAUAAGUUCGAAUCUUAUCUUCUCUC